GAAAGUCGUUCAACUAAACUACAUGAUUUAAACUCUUAAUUACAGGCAGUUUUUUUCUGCCAGAAUACACUAACUAAAACUCCAGGGCACACAAUAAGAGUAUAACUGAAAGAAGAAAAGGUGAAAUCUAUUAGCAAACACUGAUUUCUCGUUCUCAAUUCAUGAUUUGAAUUACACCUCAAGUGAUAUCCAUAAAGGUCAAAAUAUACCUAAAAAAGGAAAACAGAGAGAGGGUGAGAUUUAGCAGCCUCAACAACAAUAGUAGCAGAAAAUGAGCUUCAGAUUCAACACCCAGAUACUGAAACCGGCCCAGAAAUCAACGGAAUACCUGCUUGUUCAAUAAACUUCAAUAUCCAACUUGAAAACCAAACUCAAUUCCUUUUAAGUACUCAACAGAACCCAUAGAUGAUUCAAAAAAGGGGAAAUUGGAAAAGUAGGGCUUGAGAAGUCAAUGAAACAGUAGACUAGGGUUCAUUUCAAAGCUGGAAAUAAUUUAUCUAGCCCACUCGAUGUAGCAGUAACUCUUCUUUUCUCAGAUUUUUUCUUUCUAUGUUUUCUCUUAGAUUUUCAGAAUAUCCG
rnacentral:lncRNA from 1 species